GAACCAUGCCUGACAUCCUUAGGAGCUCAAGAAAUGAAUAGAUGAACAAAUCAUACACUGGCUUUUGCAGGCAGUGGAGGAGGAAGAAGAGAUGGACCCCCCAGACUCGGCCUCGAGGGUCUUCUGUAGCCGCAUCCUGAGCAUGGUGAAUGCAGAUGACGUCAAUGCCAUCAUCCUGGCCCAGAAGAAUAUGCUGGACCGCUUUGAGAAGACCAAUGAAAUGCUGCUGAAUUUCAACAACCUGUCCAGUGCCCGCCUUCAGCAGAUGAGUGAGCGCUUCCUACACCACACGAGAACUCUGGUAGAGAUGAAACGGGAUUUGGACAGCAUCUUCCGCCGAAUGAACUGCUACGGGCCUGAGGACGCUUCGGGCAAGGGCCGCGCCGUGGGACCUGAGAGUGCGCGCAUCCGACUCUCUGCAGAGCCGGUGGACGCGCCUCGAACCCCGCCGGCUCCCACCCGGGAGUCCCAGCGCAAGGACGUCGUUUGGAAUUCGGCAGAGGCCGGGGCGCCUCCUCAGUGUGGCGGUAGCUGUAACCUCUGA